UAGCGGCGAGCGAAGCGGCAACAGCUCAAAUUUGAAAUCUGGCUACUUUGUAGUCCGAGUUGUAAUUUGUAGAGGAUGCUUUUGGUGAGGUGCCUUCCGAGUUCCCUGGAACGGGACGCCAGAGAGGGUGAGAGCCCCGUACGGUUGGAUACCAAACCUUUGUAUAGCUCCUUCAACGAGUCGAGUAGUUUGGGAAUGCUGCUCUAAAUGGGAGGUAUAUCUCUUCUAAAGCUAAAUACCGGCUAGAGACCGAUAGCGCACAAGUAGAGUGAUCGAAAGAUGAAAAGCACUUUGAAAAGAGAGUUAAACAGCACGUGAAAUUGUUGAAAGGGAAGCGCCUAUGACCAGACUUGUUUCUUUCAGUUUUGCUUGUUUUCGGACUUGUUUACUCUGUUAGUACAGGCCAACAUCAGUUUGUUGUUUGGGAGAAAGGCUUAGGGAAUGUGGCUCCCUCGGGAGUGUUAUAGCCCUUUGCAUAAUACCCUUCGGCAGACUGAGGACCGCGCUUCGGCAAGGAUGUUGGCGUAAUGGUCAUCAGCGACCCGUCUUGAAACACGGACCAAGGAGUCAACCUUAUGUGCGAGUGUUUGGGUGUAAAACCCCAGCGCGUAAUGAACGUGAACGUAGGUGAGAGCUUCGGCGCAUCAUCGACCGAUUCUGAUGUUCUCGGAUGGAUUUGAGUAAGAGCACAUAGGGUUGGACCCGAAAGAAGGUGAACUAUGCUUGUAUAGGGUGAAGCCAGAGGAAACUCUGGUGGAGGCUCGCAGCGGUUCUGACGUGCAAAUCGAUCGUCAAAUAUGAGCAUGGGGGCGAAAGACUAAUCGAACCUUCUAGUAGCUGGUUCCAGCCGAAGUUUCCCUCAGGAUAGCAGUGUUGAACUUCAGUUUUAUGAGGUAAAGCGAAUGAUUAGGGACUCGGGGGCGCUAUAUUGCCUUCAUCCAUUCUCAAACUUUAAAUAUGUAAGAAGCCCUUGUUACUUAAUUGAACGUGGGCAUUCGAAUGUAUCAACACUAG
rnacentral:rRNA from 1 species